CCAGCUUUGAGUAUGGUUUCUGGAUUUGGCCCUUAGAGGGUGAAAGGCCCGUCCGAAUGGAGGAUAAGAAAAGUGGGCAGUUCACUAUGCCGGCCUUCGAGUCGGGUUGUUUGAGAAUGCAGCCCAAAGAGGGUGGUAAACUCCAUCCAAGGCUAAAUACUAGCACGAGUCCGAUAGCGAACAAGUACCGUGAGGGAAAGUUGAAAAGUACUUUGAAGAGAGAGUAAACAGUACGUGAAACCGCAUAGAGGUAAACGGGUAGCGUCAAGCUGCAAGCCUAGAGGAUUCAGUCGGUCAGGAUUUCGAGUAUGCGCCUGGCGCAUCUACAGUCAGAGUGUGAUAUUGUGGUCCACUGGUUAAUAGUGGGUCCGGCCGCAAGGUUGGAAUUUGCGUUCCGUAUAUGUGCGGAGCUUGCCACUUGUCUAGGGACUGUCUGACCGAUGCACUUUCUCUAUGGUGAACACCACGACCAGUGGUACUGCCAGUCUGCUGUAGCCAAGUCUGGUUCAGUCGGCAUUUAUGUUGGCUGGGCUGUGAUCAUAGGCAAACUCAGUGAACGGUGUUCGGGUGUUUACGCAUUCGUUCAUGCUAUCGGACACUGGUUGUCAACGGGUCUGUCUGUCGACAAUUGUAGUAGUUGGCAGAUGGCCUGGUGGGCUACGGUGGUAAGAAUAACUGUGCAGGGCACUGGGGAUUGCGGUCUCAAAUUUGGUUCGCGCGCACACUACAAGUGUAUGUGGGGUGUCGUUGCAGUCUGCCUGUGGUCGGGCUUGAUCGUCGUGUUGCCUGCGCAAAGUGGGUCCGGCGGUAGCCUGAUCUUGGAUGGUAUUGUUGACGGCAUUCUCUGCGUGGACUGAU
rnacentral:rRNA from 1 species